AGGGCGGGGCUGGCCUGCACCCACCGGCAGAAACGCCCCUGCAAAGUGGGGGAACUGUGUCUCUGCUCCUUUGCCGUUCCUUCCCUUCACCACGCGCUCCAGGAGAGGAAACUGAGGCACAGAGAGGCGACCAGCCCAUGGGCACGACCAGUCGAGAGCAGCCCCUGAAAGCGAGCCCAAACCCCAGGACCAGGUUUUGAGGGACGCGGGGACGGAGAGAGGUCCCCGGGGCUCGCCUGGGACCACCGUGCCCCCGGAGGGCGCGGUGAGGACUGUGCCUGACUCACUCUGCAGCCCCUACUGGGGCCACUACGGAAAAGGCCCAGCAGCGAAACCAACUGGUCCAUGCCAGGCAAGGAACCGUCUUAGACGGUUGGUGGGAACAACCGCACAGCUGCUGUGGAAAGAGCCCGGCGGUUCCUCAAACCACGAACCCUGGAGUCUCCACAAGACGCAGCAACUCCAGUCCUAGGUGUCUGCGCGCCCAAGAGAAAUGAAAAUGUUUGUCC